AUGGCCCUCCACCACGGCGCGCGGCUCCGCUCCCGCGCCGCGCCCCUCCUCGCCGUCGUCGUCCUCGCGGUCCUCGCCCUCGUCUCGCUCCUCCGCGCCAGCCACGGCGGGGGCCGCCUGGUCCCGCCCGUCGCCUCCGCCGCGGCCGCCCGCAACCGCAACCACACCGCCGCGCAGCGCAAGAUCCUGCUCGACCCGUCCUUCACCCCGCGGCUGCCGCGCCAGGGCGCGCUGUCCCUCUCCCUCGCCCGCCGCAACGCGCUGCCGCCGCGCAACGCGGCCCGCUUCCCCAGCCUCCCCGACGGCCACCUCAAGAUCGUCCUCUACGUCCACAACCGGCCCCGCUACCUCCGCCUCGUCGUCGACAGCCUCUCCCGCGUCGACGGCAUCGGCGAGGCGCUGCUCGUCGUCAGCCACGACGGCUACUUCCCCGAGAUGGACGAGAUCGUCAAGGGCAUCGCCUUCUGCCAGGUGAAGCAGAUCUUCGCGCCCUACUCGCCGCACCUCUUCCCGGACUCCUUCCCCGGCGUCGCGCCCGGGGACUGCCGGGACAAGGACAGGGCGGCCGAGAAGCGGUGCCGGGGCGAGCCGGACCAGUAUGGCAACCACCGCUCCCCGAGGAUCGUGUCGCUGAAGCACCACUGGUGGUGGAUGAUGAACACCGUGUGGGAUGGGCUGGAGGAGACCAGGGACUUCGACGGGCACAUCCUCUUCAUCGAGGAGGACCACUACAUCUUCCCCAAUGCAUACCGCAACGUGCAGCUGCUUGUGGAUUUGAAGCCGAAGAAGUGCCCCCAAUGCUAUGCCGUCAAUUUGGCGCCCUCCGAUGUCAAGGCGAAAGGGGAAGGCUGGGAGAGCAUGGUUGCUGAGAAGAUGGGUAACAUUGGCUAUGCCUUCAACAGGACUGUGUGGAGGAAGAUUCAUGCCAAGGCUAAGCAGUUCUGCGACUUUGAUGAAUACAAUUGGGAUAUAACCAUGUGGGCAACGGUGUAUCCGUCGUUUGAAGCUCCUGUUUACAGUCUGAGGGGGCCUAGGAGGAGUGCUGCACAUUUUGGCAAGUGUGGCCUGCACCAAGGCCAAGACUCCAGCAGUGUUUGUGUGGAUAAUGGCGUGGGAGCCGUAGAACUAGAUGCCAUCGACAAGGUUCCUAACAUCAAAGCUGAUUGGCCAGUCCACAUCAUUAGGAAACAACCGGGGUAUCAGGCUGGUUUCAAAGGAUGGGGUGGCUGGGGCGAUCGGCGUGACCGGGAGCUUUGCUUGAGCUUUGCGUACAUGUACCAUGUUAAAGACACCUUGUCUGUAUGA
rnacentral:rRNA from 1 species